UACGUAGGGGGCUAGCGUUGUCCGGAAUCAUUGGGCGUAAAGCGCGUGUAGGCGGUCCGGUAAGUCCGCUGUGAAAGUCGGGGGCUCAACCCUCGGAUGCCGCUGGAAACUGUCUGGCUAGAGUCCGGAAGGGGCGAGUGGAAUUCCUGGUGUAGCGGUGAAAUGCGCAGAUAUCAGGAGGAACACCUAUGGCGAAGGCAGCUCGCUGGGACGGUACUGACGCUGAGGCGCGAAAGCGUGGGGAGCGAACAGG
rnacentral:rRNA from 1 species